AGUGAACGCUGGCGGUAGGCCUAAUACAUGCAAGUCGAACGGCAGCACAGUAAGAGCUUGCUCUUACGGGUGGCGAGUGGCGGACGGGUGAGGAAUACAUCAGAAUCUACUUUUUCGUGGGUGAUAACGUAGGGCAACAUACGCUAAUACCGCAUACGUCCUACGGGUGAAAGCAGGGGAUCUUCGGACCUUUCCCGAUUCAAUGAGCCGAUGUCGGAUUAGCUAGUUGGCGGGGUAAAGGCCCACCAAGGCGACGAUCCGUAGCUGGUCUGAGAGGAUGAUCAGCCACACUGGAACUGAGACACGGUCCAGACUCCUACGGGAGGCAGCAGUGGGGAAUCUUCGACAAUGGGCGCAAGCCUGAUCCAGCCAUACCGCGUGGGUGAAGAAGACCUUCGGGUUGUAAAGCUCUUUUGUUGGGAAAGAAAAGAAGCAGGUUAAUCCCCCGCUGUUCUGACGGUACCCAAAGAAUAAGCACCGGCUAACUUCGUG
rnacentral:rRNA from 1 species